AUGCUGCUCUCGGUUCCCACAGGAGCAGGAAUGGGCACCAUGACCACUGAAGAGUGCAGUGGACCGCCUCCAGGUCUCUGCCCACGACGCUGGGGCCUUCCUGGGCUGCCGACUUUCUGCAGAAGCGUCAGCAUGAUCAAGCUCUCUCCUUGCUCUCUGGCACAGAGGCUAUGGGAUGUGGUGCCCAAAGGAGGAACCAGGAGGAUCUGCAAACCCUGGAGUCUGCUCGGUAGCCCAGAGAUGGGCUGUGUGCAGGUUGUGCCCAGGAGGAGGAAGCAAACACUUUCUGGAGAGCAGCAUCAGAGGACUCCACAGAGGACAGGGCUGGUGGAGGGCACAGUCCAGUUUCUGUGUCCUGAAGUCACCGUCUCCCCCUUGCCACCAGCAGGUGAGCUUAACCAGCGGCUGAGCUGACUCGAAACUUCAGGCUCCAAGAGGUGUCUCACGUGAUCCUCUCAUCCAGCACGGACCAGCCGCCCCUCUAAGGACAUUUCUCCAGUGUUUUAUCACCUUUCCUAACAGCCUCGUCCUCUGUACUUCCACUGUCGCAGCUUAAUAGGUUUUCUCUUCCCAGCCUCUCUUCUUCACCAAACUCUAACGUACAUCACAGUCCAAAUGGCUUUUUGUUGCAGUUAGCAGAUUGUUGGUGUCAUUGCUUCCCAGGGAGUCAACACGUUUACUUCUCACUUGCUCCCAGCCCCCACCUGGCUGAGACCCCACUUCCCCAGAGUCCUUGUUUCUGCUCAGUGAGCCCAACUAAUCUGAGACCCACCGGGGAUAUUAAUGUUCUGUGAAUUCUGAUGCGUUUCCCCAAUGUGAUAAAAAGGAAUUUUGAAAACAUUUUACUAUAAUGAAAGCAUAUUUGUGUAACGUGUACUUGUGUCGGUUACUUGCCUGGCUGUGCUCUGCCUUCCUCAUCUUCUUUCUCCCAUCUUCAUCCUGUAGUGUGUCAUGGCAACAAGUAGGUGGUUGCAGUUUUACACACAUGCACACAUGUGUGUAUGCACACACAUGCACACACACACUCUCUCCAAGCUAAUGCAUUUGCCAAAAAUAAAUGAAUGUUUGGAUGAGCGAAUGACCA
rnacentral:lncRNA from 1 species